rnacentral:rRNA from 1 species
CGUUGUCCGGAAUUAUUGGGCGUAAAGAGCUCGUAGGUGGCUUGUCGCGUCUGCCGUGAAAACCCGAGGCUCAACCUCGGGCGUGCGGUGGGUACGGGCAGGCUAGAGUGUGGUAGGGGAGACUGGAACUCCUGGUGUAGCGGUGAAAUGCGCAGAUAUCAGGAAGAACACCGAUGGCGAAGGCAGGUCUCUGGGCCAUUACUGACACUGAGGAGCGAAAGCAUGGGUAGCGAACAGGAUUAGAUACCCUGGUAGUCCAUGCCGUAAACGUUGGGCACUAGAUGUGGGGGACAUUCCACGUUUUCCGCGUCGUAGCUAACGCAUUAAGUGCCCCGCCUGGGGAGUACGGCCGCAAGGCUAAAACUCAAAGGAAUUGACGGGGGCCCGCACAAGCGGCGGAGCAUGCUGAUUAAUUCGAUGUAACGCGAAGAACCUUACCAAGGCUUGACAUGCACCGGGCGACUGCAGAGAUGUGGUUUUCUUCGGACUGGUGCACAGGUGGUGCAUGGUUGUCGUCAGCUCGUGUCGUGAGAUGUUGGGUUAAGUCCCGCAACGAGCGCAACCCUC